rnacentral:rRNA from 1 species
UUUCCCUACGGGGGGCAGCAGUGGGGAAUAUUGCGCAAUGGGCGAAAGCCUGACGCAGCGACGCCGCGUGAGGGAUGAAGGUCUUCGGAUCGUAAACCUCUGUCCGCAGGGAAGCACGGUCACUGUGCUAAUCAGCAGUGAAUUGACGGUACCUGCAAAGGAAGCACCGGCUAACUCCGUGCCAGCAGCCGCGGUAAUACGGCGGGUGCGAGCGUUCAUCGGAAUUACUGGGCGUACAGCGCUCGUAGGCGGUAUGUCACGUCAAGGGUGAAAUCCCCGCGCUCAACGUGGGUACUGCCUUUGAA